GUGAAGGAGAGUGGGAAGAGCAGGGCAAGGAAGCUAUUACUCACUUCCAUGAAUACAGGAGCUAGACAUGGAUGGGUUAACUUCAGUAGUCCAUGUCUUGCUUGCUGUGAUAGAUGGGAAUUUACCACAGCAACAAAAAGCCCUGACUGCCCUUGUGCAGGCCUUGGGGAGCUUGAUGUGGACAUCCUUCCAUAGGCCUGGAAGCUGAGCAUUUAAGGCUGGGUACCCUCUGGUCUGGCCCAGAUGUGAAUCCCACUUGGUCCUUGAAAAAGUGGCCUGGAAUCCAAGUGAAGCAACUGCACCGUGGAGGAGGCCUCCAGUGGUUCCAAUGGAGACCAGGAGCCCAGUUUAGUAGGAAGAUUCAGAGCAAGCCACUGAAGGUUUACAGAAGCACAAUGGCCUUGUUUUUGCUCUUCUGAUGGUAGACUGCAUCCACUGAUGAACCGGCAGCUAGACUGGGGAGAUGAGGUGUGUUUAUGGUGAUCCUGGAAAAUCAGGGAGGGGCAGGGAGUGGAAACACUCCAAAUAACACUCCAAAUGAGGCUUUGCUGGCUCCUUUAGUUUUCCCUUUUACUCCAAACUACAGAAGUCCUAAAAUGGGAAGGAGAAUGGUGAGAAGGAAGAGGGUACUGGCCUAGUUAGAGGACCAGAUUUAUUUUGGUCAAAAAUUGACGUUUUUCCUCUCCUGAUGCCUUUAAACCAAACACUGCUCCCCAAAAGCUGGGGCUUUUUAGGCACUUGACCAGACUAGGAAGAUUCCAAGACUGAGAUGCACAGUGAGCUUAGGGGUUGCCUCCCCAAUCUGGGACUCGGCUCACUUAUUGCAGACCCUGUCUCCCAUGCCUGGUCCUGAGGACAUCUGGAGAAGAUCCCUCACCAACCAACAGUGCUGGAUGCUUCAUACCCUCGAUCACUGGACUCCAGGUUCUUCAGCUUUUGGACUCUUGGACCUACACCAGUGGUUUGCCAGGGGCUCUCGGGCCUUUGCCACAGACUGAAGGCUGCACUGUUAGCUUCCCUGCUUUUGAGAUUUGGGGACUCGGACUGGCUUCUCUGCUCCUCAGCUUGCAGACGGCCUAUUGUGGAACUUCACCUCGUGACUGUUUCUGGUGACUGGAAGUUCAAGAUCAGAGUGCCAGCAGAUGCAGGUUCUAGUGAGGAUCUUCUUCCUGGUUGCAGACACUGACUUCCUGUAUCAUCAAAUUAUGGAAAGAAAAAAGAUAUACUUCAUGUUGUAGUGUCUGGCGAUUUAUUAAAGGAGAUCAGAUUUGAUACCAAUGAACUCAGUCAAAAAGGUAUUAGAAAGACCUAGAUGGCUAAUCUUUUAUAUAAUGCUUCUGCAUAGCUUAUAUUCUGUCUUAGAGCUGCCAGAGAUUUUUUUUUAAUAUGUAGAGCCUCAGAGAAACAGGUCUAUCCCAAGUUGCUCAGUGUAACUGUCCAAAUAAUAAUAAUCACUUUAGCAACACAUUCUAUAAUAGGAGUGUUAUUUAAGGAGGAAAGAGGGGUUGCUUUGGAGUACUUUGUUUCUGCUUGGGAGGAGCACAAUUUCUAAACCUAAAUAUUUCUGGGUUUCAAUCCUGGAUAAGUCAUGUAUUUAUUAGUUUUGCGACCUUGGGCAAGUUACUUAACUUACCUUAGCCUACAUUUUCUCAUCUAUAAAAUAGAGGAAACAGCUGGGUGUGGUGGUGCAAGCCUGUAGUCCCAGAUACUCAGGAGGCUGAGGUGGGAGGAUCGCUUGAGACAAGGAGGUCUGGGCUGUAGUGCGCUAUGCCAAUCAGUGUCUGCACUAAGGUCAGCAUCAAUUUGGUGACCUCCUGGGAGCAAGGGACCACCAGCUUGCCUAAGGAGGGGUGAACCGGCCCAGGUCAGAAAUGGAGCAGGUCAAAAUUCCCGUGCUGAUCAGUAGUGAGAUUGGGCCUGUGAAUAGCCACUGCACUCCAGCCUGGGCAACAAAGCAAUCCCAUCACUAAAAAAAAUAAAUAAAUAAAAAUAAAUAGAAAGCAUAUCCUUCAAGGUUUUUGUGAGUUGAAAUGUCUUAACACUAUAACAAUGCCUAGUAUAUAACAGGCAAUAAACAUUUGUUUUCUUCCCCUUGUCCCAGCUGGGAUACUAUGCCGACACCUUUUUGUAGAAAGGCAACAUCCAACUCCUCCCCAGUCCAGGCAUACUAAUGCUGAUUUUAGACUGUGGUAGACUCAGCUGAGCAACAAACAUUUUGAGCUCUUGCACUGGGUCACUUCCUGCCAGCCAGUUGGUAGGAUUAGACUCCUUGCAAUCUGUGUGUGCAGCAGAGUGGAUUAAAUUUCUGAAAUAUUUUAUCACAUCUGACCUUAUUAUUUUAUAAAUUCAUCAGAAAAUGAAAAUGUGUAAGUCAGGAGAUCCAUUUAUAAACAAAAAAGGAUAGGUCUUGUAAAUAACACAUUUGGAACAGAGAAUUAUUUUGGUCUUGCCAAAAACUGUUUACUUGAAUCCUUAGUUUUGAUGAGAUAUUCAUUGACUUCAUUAAUCAAUGAAAAGAACGUUAAAGAAUAUUUAUGAUAUGCCAGAGCUACAUCAUUGUGUCUCAAGGCAAGAUGCAAGGGUUCUAUAAAUGUUUAGGUUUUGACGAACAGCCUUGUACACAUGAAAUCAGGAGACUGGCUUUAAUGAUCUCCUUCACCACACCUGUAUUUAAUUGUGGAUAAAUUUGAAGAAAAUUUAUCAGCAAGUUCUCAAUUUUACCUUUGGUCCAAUUUAAAGACAGUAUUC
rnacentral:lncRNA from 10 species